rnacentral:rRNA from 1 species
ACGCUCGACACCUACGGUAGGCAGCAGUGGGGAAUAUUGCACAAUGGGGGAAACCCUGAUGCAGCGACGCCGCGUGAGCGAAGAAGUAUCUCGGUAUGUAAAGCUCUAUCAGCAGGGAAGAAGAUGACGGUACCUGACUAAGAAGCACCGGCUAAAUACGUGCCAGCAGCGCGGUAAUCUGAGCGGGCUGGCAAGGC